AUGAACUUGAUCUGUAGGCCUGGAGACUCCUCUUCACGUCCGUCCGGACAACCCCCCCCCGCCCCGCCCCUCACGUCCUUCUCCCAGCCCCUAGCUCUGAGCUGCCUCUGCUGCUGGAGCUUCUACGGCUGGAGGGCACAGCCGCCCCCAGCCUCUGCAGAGCGCUCAACGCCUGGGGCUCCUGGAGUGCGGGAGCCAGGGGCCAGGCGGCCAGCCUGGGGCAGUUCAGGGCAGUUCUGGGGCAGGUCUUCAUCAAACUCCUCCACCCGCAUCACCACACCCACUUUAUUAAUUGGGGGGGGGGUACUGAACACAGGCAGUGCCCAGGGGCAUCUCUGGCUGCGCCUGCCUCUCCCGAGCUAUGCCCGGGGCCUUCCCGCCUCCUCCACGCGCACCUCCGCGCCCCCUGAAGAAGGGGGGAGAAAGAAAUACGCAUUAAUAUCACGAGCCUUCGCGCACCAUCGCGCGCCCCCUCAACCACCUGUCUCUGCGCUCUCCCUCCCCCACUGCCUUCCUCAACUCCGGGCGCCCCCUCUGCAGCAGCGGGGCACCACGCCCACUGCGGAGCCGAGAAACGGAAGACCCUUUAGAGAACUGGAAAAGAGCUGUGAGCCCUCGCUCCAGAAAAGUGCACGUGCACCCAUAAACAUAGCUUCGCGUGGUCAGAGAAUUCUCCUGCUUCUCAAAGCUCCGGGGACCCAGCUGAAGGACACCGUCUCUGCCAGUACCCUAAGCCAGUCCAACCUGGUGAUCGGCUGUGUCGCUGCCUGUUUGCUCAUGAGGCUUCUUCCUUCAGGCACACCCCUUCUCCCCCAGUCCCACCUUUCUGCCAGUGGAAUAUCCGCUUCUCCUUGAAAGCUGGCUCGAAUACCGCCUCCUCCCUGAUUUCCCCUUCAGGGGUGUCAUCCAUGGCCGUCGUGGGUUUCUCGGAGCAUGUUCUUUGUGCCAUUUAGGUCUGUUAAUACUGUAUAUAUGUGGACCUGUGCUUAUUUUUGUGGUUGUUGUCUUAUUGCUCCUUCUAGAUUAUAAACUCUUUUAAGAUCAGUUUCCUCCUCUACAACUACCAAGGUGCCUUACAAGAUAUGCCCUUGGCAGGUAGCUCUUAAAUAAUCAAAGGGGAGUUCCCUCUCUGGUGCAAUGGGUUAAGGAGCCAGUGUUGUCUCUGUAGGAGCAUGGGUUCGAUCCCCAGACCAGGAACGUCCAUAGGCCACAGGUGCUGCCAAACACAAAUCCAAGAGAAGCGGGGUUGAGGCCCCGGAUGACAGAUGCCUUUGCUCCAGAAGAACCUGAUGCCGCUGGUCCCAGAUGCUUCGCCAACAACGUGCAUUCCCCCCAAGCACACCUUGGCACCUGGCAAGCAGAAUUCUCAAAUUAGUAGGAUCAUUUGAUCUUCUCCUCUGGGCAAGACAGACAUAAGGUAAAGCCUAGAUCAAGUUGGGGUACACGUUCAUGCAGGAUGCCCCUGACAGAUAGUAGAUAUUCCACCCCAGAUGUCCCCUCGUCUAAAAAGGGACACUGCCACCCACCAGUUGCACUUGCCAGAAGCAAACUGGUGUCAUCGUUGUCUCCUUCCCUCCAUGGGCUCCCUCCGUAUGCAUUCCCCAUCAGUCACCACAUCCUGGAUCGAUUUCAGAGACUGCCCUUCUCUCCAUCCCCGCAGCCCCCUCCCAAGCUCAGACCGGCAUUAUUUCUUGCUUGAAUUUCUGCAUCUCUCUCCAUCCUAGCUGGCCUACCUGCCUCCAGCCUCACCAGGCUCAGAUCCAGUCUCCACAACCCAGCCAGAAGGAUCUUCCAAAAAUACCAACCACUUCCUUGCUGAAAACGCUUUGGCAGCUCUGCCUUUAGGAAGGAUGAA
rnacentral:lncRNA from 1 species